rnacentral:rRNA from 1 species
CGGGACGGGUGAGUAAUGUCUGGGAAACUGCCUGAUGGAGGGGGAUAACUACUGGAAACGGUAGCUAAUACCGCAUAACGUCGCAAGAUCAAAGAGGGGGACCUUCGGGCCUCUUGCCAUCGGAUGUGCCCAGAUGGGAUUAGCUAGUAGGUGGGGUAACGGCUCACCUAGGCGACGAUCCCUAGCUGGUCUGAGAGGAUAACCAGCCACACUGGAACUGAGACACGGUCCAG